GGUUAAGCGAAUAAGCGUACACGGUGGAUGCCUAGGCAAUCAGAGGCGAUGAAGGACGUGCUAAUCUGCGAAAAGCGUCGGUAAGGUGAUAUGAACCGUUAUACCCGACGAUAUCCGAAUGGGGAAACCCAGUAUCCAAUGGAUACUAUCAUUAACUGAAUCCAUAGGUUAAUGAGGCGAACCGGGAGAACUGAAACAUCUCAGUACCCCGAGGAAAAGAAAUCAACCGAGAUUCCCCUAGUAGCGGCGAGCGAACGGGGAGCAGCCCAGAGUCUUAAUCAAUAGCAGUGUCAGGAGAACGGUCUGGAAAGUCCGGCAGUAAAGGGUGAUAGCCCCGUAUCUGAAGAUGCUGUUAUUGUGAACUCGAUGAGUAGGGCGGGACACGUGUUAUCCUGUCUGAAUAUGGGGGGACCAUCCUCCAAGGCUAAAUACUCCUGAUUGACCGAUAGUGAACCAGUACCGUGAGGGAAAGGCGAAAAGAACCCCGGCGAGGGGAGUGAAAAAGAACCUGAAACCGUGUACGUACAAGCAGUAGGAGCCUCUUUAUGGGGUGACUGCGUACCUUUUGUAUAAUGGGUCAGCGACUUAUAUUCUGUAGCAAGGUUAACCACAUAGGGGAGCCGUAGGGAAACCGAGUCUUAACUGGGCGAAUGAGUUGCAGGGUAUAGACCCGAAACCCGGUGAUCUAUCCAUGGGCAGGUUGAAGGUUGGGUAACACUAACUGGAGGACCGAACCGACUAAUGUUGAAAAAUUAGCGGAUGACUUGUGGAUGGGGGUGAAAGGCCAAUCAAACCGGGAGAUAGCUGGUUCUCCCCGAAAGCUAUUUAGGUAGCGCCUCGUGAACUCAUCUUCGGGGGUAGAGCACUGUUUCGACUAGGGGGUCAUCCCGACUUACCAACUCGAUGCAAACUGCGAAUACCGAAGAAUGUUAUCACGGGAGACACACGGCGGGUGCUAACGUCCGUCGUGAAGAGGGAAACAACCCAGACCGCCAGCUAAGGUCCCAAAGUCAUGGUUAAGUGGGAAACGAAGUGGGAAGGCUCAGACAGCCAGGAUGUUGGCUUAGAAGCAGCCAUCAUUUAAAGAAAGCGUAAUAGCUCACUGGUCGAGUCGGCCCGCGCGGAAGAUGUAACGGGGCUAAACCAUGCACCGAAGCUGCGGCAGCGACACGUAGUGUUGUUGGGUAGGGGAGCGUUCUGUAAGCCUGCGAAGGUGUACUGUGAGGUAUGCUGGAGGUAUCAGAAGUGCGAAUGCUGACAUAAGUAACGAUAAUGCGGGUGAAAAACCCGCACGCCGGAAGACCAAGGGUUCCUGUCCAACGUUAAUCGGGGCAGGGUGAGUCGACCCCUAAGGCGAGGCUGAAAAGCGUAGUCGAUGGGAAACGGGUUAAUAUUCCCGUACUGGUGGUAACUGCGAUGGGGGAACGGAGAAGGCUAGGUUGUCCGGGCGACGGUCGUCCCGGUUCAAGCAGGUAGGCAGAGUGAUUAGGCAAAUCCGGUCACUUAAUGCUGAGAUGUGAUGACGAACCACCAAGGUGGUGAAGCAAUUGAUGCCCCGCUUCCAGGAAAAGCCUCUAAGCUUCAGGUUACCAACAAUCGUACCCCAAACCGACACAGGUGGUCAGGUAGAGAAUACUCAGGCGCUUGAGAGAACUCGGGUGAAGGAACUAGGCAAAAUGGUGCCGUAACUUCGGGAGAAGGCACGCUGGCGGUAGGUAAAGUCCCUUGCGGACGGCGCUGAAGCCAGUCGAAGAUACCAGCUGGCUGCAACUGUUUAUUAAAAACACAGCACUGUGCAAACACGAAAGUGGACGUAUACGGUGUGACGCCUGCCCGGUGCUGGAAGGUUAAUUGAUGGGGUCAGCCGUAAGGCGAAGCUCCUGAUCGAAGCCCCAGUAAACGGCGGCCGUAACUAUAACGGUCCUAAGGUAGCGAAAUUCCUUGUCGGGUAAGUUCCGACCUGCACGAAUGGCGUAAUGAUGGCCAGGCUGUCUCCACCCGAGACUCAGUGAAAUUGAACUCGCUGUGAAGAUGCAGUGUACCCGCGGCAAGACGGAAAGACCCCGUGAACCUUUACUAUAGCUUGACACUGAACAUUGAGCCUUGAUGUGUAGGAUAGGUGGGAGGCUUUGAAGUGUGGACGCCAGUCUGCAUGGAGCCAACCUUGAAAUACCACCCUUUAACGUUUGAUGUUCUAACCUAGGCCCAUAAACUGGGUCGGGGACCGUGUCUGGUGGGUAGUUUGACUGGGGCGGUCUCCUCCUAAAGAGUAACGGAGGAGCACGAAGGUUGGCUAAGCAUGGUCGGACAUCAUGCGGUUAGUGCAAAGGCAUAAGCCAGCUUGACUGCGAGAGUGACGGCUCGAGCAGGUACGAAAGUAGGUCUUAGUGAUCCGGUGGUUCUGAAUGGAAGGGCCAUCGCUCAACGGAUAAAAGGUACUCCGGGGAUAACAGGCUGAUACCGCCCAAGAGUUCAUAUCGACGGCGGUGUUUGGCACCUCGAUGUCGGCUCAUCACAUCCUGGGGCUGAAGUAGGUCCCAAGGGUAUGGCUGUUCGCCAUUUAAAGUGGUACGCGAGCUGGGUUUAGAACGUCGUGAGACAGUUCGGUCCCUAUCUGCCGUGGGCGUUGGAAGAUUGAGAGGGGUUGCUCCUAGUACGAGAGGACCGGAGUGAACGCACCACUGGUGUUCGGGUUGUCAUGCCAAUGGCAUUGCCCGGUAGCUAAGUGCGGAAGAGAUAACCGCUGAAAGCAUCUAAGCGGGAAACUUGCCUCGAGAUGAGUCUUCCCUGUCGCUUUAAGCGACCUAAAGGAACGUUUAAGACUAAGACGUUGAUAGGCUGGGUGUGUAAGCGUAGCGAUACGUUGAGCUAACCAGUACUAAUGAACCGUGAGGCUUAACCUG
rnacentral:rRNA from 1 species